CAGGAAGACAGCAUGGGACCAGUGGGCCAGUCUUACCCUUAAUGCCAUAGAGUCACCUCUUCAGUCUCUUCCUCAGAAGAAGGAAGUAACGUCUAAUAAACCACUUCCCUAAAGUAACAGUAAGUAAUAUUAUGCCUUGUGCCCGGACCCUCCGUGCCUUUACCCACGGUCCCACACCCAGGCUGGAUAUGAGGUGAACACUGGAAGAAGGAGAGUUGUGGGGGAGACAUGAUGGAGUGCUACAGGCACUUACACAGGAUCAUUCUCAUGGUUGUUCUGCAAGGGGGGUUCCCAGGUUCGUACAGUCAGGAUUGGGCCAUUACCCUCCCUGAAUCCAUCAGAGCAUUGAGAGGAUCCUGUGUGGUGAUUCCCUGCACAUUUACCCGCCCCAGGGGCAACAAGGACUUCAGUCUGGUUUGGUACAAGGAAAUCCUUCUUCCUGACAUUAAAAUAUUCAGCCAACAGGAUCCCUCUGAUGUGAGUGAGGGUUACAGACGCCGCACUUCCCUGGUCGGCAAUGAGCCAAACAGCUGCUCCCUGAGGAUUAAUGAUGUGCAAGAAAGUGGCAGUUAUUAUCCCUAUAUACAUGGGAACUGU